rnacentral:lncRNA from 1 species
UGAGAAAGGGAAAGGAAGCAAGCCUGUGUUUUUAAGGAUGGACUAGUCUCUGAUGCCAAAGAUGACUCAAUUUAUUUCAAAUGGCUGCAACAACGUACGAGUGGUUGAACAAAAUGAUGUAAUUUAUCAUGCAACUUCAUCAACUCCAAUCAACUUUCUCUGUUUCUCAUUGUCAGGUCCUGAAAUAUACAAAAAGCCAGAGAAAGUAUGGUAUAAUUCAUAGAACUAAUUUUUAGUCUUUUAAUUUUAGACUACUCAUUUGAUAGGUAAAUAAUGUCGAAAAAUUAUAAAAUUUGAUUUUCGAAUACUUUCAAUAGUGUAGAUUAACUCUAACAAAGCUGAUCAUCGAUUCAGAAGCUGCAUCAUUGAAAACAACUUGGUAGCAUGAAAGCCUCCUUGCUACCGAUAAUGUAGUAGCCUGUCUAUAUAUAUAGAGAGAGUCCAGCUACUAUACUCUUAUGAGCACGAUCGCCCUCGUACUCAUAAGUUGUUUUCGCUGAUAGAGCUUCCGAAUCAACGAUCCACACCGUUAAACGUUAUCUAGAGCAUUUAAAACGUCUAGAAAUCAAAUUUUAUAAUUUUUCAACAUCAUUUACCUUACAAUUAAAAGGUCACAAAAUUGACAAUUUUUAACGGCCGGUAUGAAAUAUUUAUUAGUUUAACGGUGUAAAAGAAUUGAAAUUGGUUGAAUUUUUGAUAGAAAAUUCUAUUCACUACAUAGAUAGAGAUCAAUAACUCUGAUCUUAAAUUGAAGGAUCUGAUCAUCCAUUUUUAAGACGUCGUUCGAUUUUGGCCGUUCAUUUUAUAUCUGCUUGAUGAACUUUAUUAUGAUUUCGAAAAAUUACGAAAUUUAUUUUCUAAAAGUUUCAAUUACUCUAGAUCAUAUUUAACGGAGUGGAUCGUCGAUUCGGAAGCUCAAUCAUUGAAAACAACUUAUGAGCAUGAAGGGCUCUAUACUCAUAAGAGUAUAAUAGCCAUAGCCUAUAUAUAUAUAUAGAGUUGAGCUAUGAAACUUUCACAAGUAUCACCAUCAUGGUGCUAUUAGAUUUUAAGCCGUUGGAUCUACUUUUUGAUUAUUAAUAGCCCUUGGAUUAAACACUAUUCCACCUACCACCACCUACCACCAUCAUCUCAACCUCACAUCUCUCCAUCCAAGGACUAAAAACACACAAGUAUCACCCCAUGAUACUUUUACAAGUAUUCUAGCCCUACUCUAUAUAUAUAUAUAUAUAUAUAUAUAUAUAUAUAUAUAUAUAUAUAUAUAUAGAGAGAGAGAGAGAGAGAGAGAGAGAGAGAGAGAGAGAGUCCGACUGGUAUACUAUUGGUAGCAUGGAAGCCUCCGUGCUACCAAGUUGUUUUUGAUGAUGCAGCUUUCAAAUCAACAAUCGUCUCCAUUAGACUUGAUCUACACUAUUGAAAAUAUUUGGAAACUAAAUUUUAUAAUUUUUUGAUAUUAUUUACCUAUCAAACGAGUAGUCUAAAAAUGAAAUGCUAAAAAUAAAAAUCUUUUUAAAAAAUUAUGAUAAAAGACUUGAAUUUAAAAUCAGAGAUACUGAUCUUACUCUAAAUAGUAAAAAAAAAAAAUUUAUAAAAUUUUCAUCAAAUUUAAAUUGUUUUACACCGUUAAAUUCACAAACGCAUCACAUCUGCCAUUGAAAUUGUCAUUUUUAAGACCUUUUGAUCAGUAAACAAAUAAUGUCGAAAAGUUAUGAAAUUUAGUUUUCAAAUAUUUUCAAUAGUGUAAAUCAAGUCUAACGGAGUUGAUCGUUGAUUUGAAAGUUGAAUCAUCGAAAACAACUUGGUAGCAUGGAGUUCUCCUUACUACCGAUAAUAUACCAGCCUAAUUCUAUAUAUAUAUAUAUAUAUAUAUAUAUAUAUAAUUAGACUGGAAUACUAUUAAUAGUAAAACGCUUUUUUGCUAAUCAAUUUUAACCCUUGGAUGAAAAAUUAUAGGGUUAGGAUGAUAUUAAGUUAGUUAGAGUUGUGGUCCCACUGGGUUAUAGUAUUUAAUCAAUGGUUAGAAAUGAUUAAAUAGUUGAUCCAAAGGCUUAAAAACUGUAGCAACAAUAAAUUUUGCUACUAAUAGUAGCCCAGUCCAACUCUAUAUAGAAUAGACUGGAAUACUAUUAAUAGUAAAACCUUUUUUUGGCUAUCAAGUUUUAACCGUUGGAUGAAAAAUUAUAAAGUUAGGAUGAUAUUAGUAGUUAGAGUUGAGUGGUCCCCACUGGGUUAUAGUAUUUAAUCCAAUGGUUAGAAAUGAUUCAAUGAGUUGAUCCAAAGGCUUAAAAACUGUAGCAACAAUUUUUAACUUGGCCGUUUAGAUGAACCUUGCUAGUUUUAACGGUGUAAAAGAAUCGAAUUUGUUGAAUUUUUCGAUAGACAAAUUCAAUUCACUACAUAGAUAAGAUCAAUGAACUCCGAUCUUGAAUUGAAUGAUCCGAUUAUCCUUUUUUUUAGAUGUCGCUCGAUUUGACCGUUCAUUUAUUGCCUACUUGAUGGACUUUAUUAUAAUGAUGUGGCCCCUAGGCUUGAGUAGGUAGUUGGUUGAAUAGUAUAAUCUAACGGGUAAAAAUAAUCAAAGGAUUAGUUUAAUGGUAGAAAACUUAAUAGCACCAAGUGUUUGUGCUAUCGAUAGCAUAGCAGCCGGACUCUCUAUAUAUAUAUAUAGAGAAGAGAGAGAGAGUCUAGCUACUAUAAUCUUUUAUGAGUUUGGCUCCAUUACACUCAAGUUUUCGGCCUUAGAUUUAUUCUAUUGAUCAUUCCACCUGUUAUAAAUCAUACUAUUCAACCAACUACCCACUCAACACUAGAGGACCACUAUCAUUCUAAACAAGGACCCACCUCAUCCUAACCCACUACAUUCUAUAAUCAACCAGUUAAAAAUUUAUGAGUAUACAGGGAGGUCUACACUCCUAAUAGUAUAGUAGCUCCACCUAUAUAUAUAUAUAUAAUAUAUUAUAUAUAUAUAUAUAUAUAUAUAUAUAUAUAUAUAGAGUGAGGCUACUAUGCUAUCGGAAGCAAUGGCCUUCCGUGCUUCCAGCUCGUUUCGAUGUUGCGACUUUCGAAUCGCUCGAUCGGCUCCGUUAAACUUGAUCUAGAGUAUUCUGAAGUACUAGAAAAUAAAUUUAUGAUUUACGAUAUCAUUUGCCUGUGAACGAAGGGCUCAAAAUCAACGGAUGAAAAUAAAAAUCUUACAAAAAUGUAAUAAUAGACAUUGAAAUUUUAAAUCAAAGAUAUGAUCUUGUUUUAUAUAGUAUAAGAAUUUUCUAUCAAAAUUUCAUGUGAUUUGGAUAUUUCUACACCCGUUAAACUUGCAAACGCUCACUACGGCAUUGAAAUUUGUUGAUUUUGAGCCCAUUCGAUCACUAGGCAAUUGAUAUCGAAAAAUAAUAAAAUUUAUUUUCUAGGUACUCCAAAUACUCUAGAUCAAGUUAACGGAGCCGAUCGACGAUUCGAAAGUCACAACAUCGAAAACGAGCUGGAAGCACGGAAGGCUCCGUGCUUCCUAUAGCAAGUAGCCUCACCUCUAUAUAUAUAUAUAUAUAUAUAUAUAUAUAUAUAUAUAUAAUAUUAGGUCUUGUGUGCUAUUAGGAGCACAGAGGCCUCCGUGCUCCCUAACCGUUUUCAAAUGAUAGAGUUUUCGAAUCGACGAUCAGCUCCGUUAGAUUUGAUCUAACAUAUUUGAAGUAUCUGGAAAAUAAAUUUUGCGGUUUUUCGAUAUUAUUUACUUACUAAUCGAAAGGGUUUAAAAUCAACAAUUUUUAAUGGUUGAUGUAUACCGUUUGCAAAUUUAACAGGUGUAGAAGUAUUCAAACCAGAUGAAAUUUUGAUAGAAAAUUCUUUAUAACUAUUUACAGCAAGAUCAAUUCUUGAUUGAAAUUUAGUGCUAUAUCACACCACUUUUUUGUGAAUUUUUAUUUUCAGCCGUUGAUUUUGAAUCCUUUUCGAUCGCUAGUAAAUGAUAUCGAAAAAUCGUAAAAUUUAUUUUCUAGAUACUUCAAAUAUUCUAGAUCAAGUCUAAUGAGCCGAUCGUCGACUUCGGAAGCUCCAUCAUCGAAACACGCUUAGAGUACGGACCUCCCGUGCUCCUAAUAACACACAAACCUGCUAUAUAUAUAUUAUAUAUAUAUAUAUAGAUAAGAGGAGAGAGAGAGAGAGAGAGAGAGAGAGAGAGAGAGAGAGAGAGAGAGUAGGGCUACUAUACUCUUAUGAGUAUAGAAUCCUUACUACUCAUAAGUUGUUUUCGAUGUUGGAGUUUUCGAAUCGACGAUCGACACCAUUAAACAUGAUCUAGAGUAUUUGAAACUUCAAGAAAAUAAAUUUUAUAAACUUUCGAAAUCAUUAUAAAGUCCAUCAAGCAAGUAUAAAAUGAACGUUUAAAAUCGAAUGACAUCCUAAAAAUGAAUGAUCAAAUCCUUCAAUUUAAGAUCGGAGUUAUUGAUCUUUAUUUAGGUAGUGAAUUGAAUUUUCUAUCAAAAAUUCAACCUUUUUCGAUUCUUUUUCACCGUUAAACUAGCAAAUAUCUCAUACCGGCCGUAAAAAAUUGUCAAUUUUGUGACCGUUUGAUAGUAAGGUAAAAGAUAUCGAAAAAUUAUAAAAUUUAAUUUCUAGAAGUUUUAAAUGCUCUAGAUAAUGCUUAAUAGUAUGGAUCGUCGAUUCGGAAGCUCUAUCAUCGAAAAUAACUUAUGAGUAUGAUAACUUAUGAGUAUGAGGACGAUCGUACUUAUAAGAGUAUAGAUAGUAACCGACACUAUAAUAUAUAUAUAGAAGAGAGAGAGAGAGAGUGUGAGAGGCUACUAUGCUAUGCGAACACGGAGCCUUCCGUGCUUGCCAAGCCUUUUCGAUGUUGCACUUUCGAAUCGUCAAUCGCUCGUUAAACGAUCUAGAGAUUUGAGUACCUAGAAAUAAAUUUAAUUAUUUUCGAUAUCAUUUGCCUAGUGAUCAAAUGGGCUCAAAAUCAACAAACUUCCAAUGCCGUAGUGAACCGUUGCAAGUUUAACCGUAUAGAAAUAUCCCGAUCACGUGAAAUUUUAUAAAAAAUCUUUAUAGGCUAUAAUAACACAAAUCAAUAUCUUUGAUUUAAAAUUUGAUAUAAGUCAUAAGUAUUACCUUUUGUAAGAUUUUUAUUUUCAGCCGUUGAUUUUGAGCCUCUUCUUCACUAGCAAAAUGAUAUCGUAAAAUCAUNNNNNNNNNNNNNNNNNNNNNNNNNNNNNNNNNNNNNNNNNNNNNNNNNNNNNNNNNNNNNNNNNNNNNNNNNNNNNNNNNNNNNNNNNNNNNNNNNNNNGUGUGUGUGUUGUGUGUGCGUGCUUAGCUAUCUGGCUCUCUGGAAGCACGCGAUGCGUUCCGUGCUUCCAAGUCGUUUUUCGAUGUUGAGGACUUUCGAAUCCGAUGCACUCCGUUAGACUUUGAUUUAGAGUAUUUUAAGUAUUUAGAAAAUAAAUUUUCGUUUUUUUUAGAUAUCAUUUCCAUAUGACGAAGCGAAAUCGCAUUAUUUCAUGCGAUUUCGGCGCUUUUAUGGUCCGUCUACACAAACUAGGAGUCAUUCAGCCAAACCGAGACACCUACUGACAGGUCUCGGCGUGCCGGAGGCCGUGCUCACCUUUCGGAGCAAUUCCGGCCAUUGUGGGGAGCGCACGAGCGACGCGAAAUUCAGUAAACUGCGCACUGAAACUAAAACACAUGUAACUAACUCAUCCGGAGCUCUAUGACCCUAAGUGAGGUGAGCACUGUGAUCAGGACUGACAGACUAUCACCGUGCUCACCCCCGGAGGCAUCGGAACAGCCUCGGGUCGCCGGAACAGUGACUAGAACAGGAAAUCAUGUACAGAACAGCAAAAACAUUGCUUACCGGCCAGGGCAGUGCUAGGGCUGGCCGGCGGCGGCCGGACGGCGAGCGCUUCGGCCGGAGAUGGGAGCAGCUGGUCCAAGGGGUCCGGGUCACCUGCUGGCCGGCGGCGGGAGGCGGCCAGUGGAGCGGCGGAGGAGAUCAAGCCGCGGCUUGCUCUCGGGUUCCAUGUGUUCCCGGCGGCGCGGCGGCGGCCGGAGGAGGUCGGGGCGACGGCGAUCCAUCGCCGGAGGCCGUAGGAAGGGUGGUGCUCCCCGCUGUGGGCGGCGGCGACGCGCGGAUUGGAGGGAAGCCCAGCCUCGGCCCGCACCAAGUCUGGGCGGCUGUAGGAGCUUCAGGCGGCGGCCGGCGGUGGUCGGGGACGCCGGGAAACACGCGCGUGAGGUCGCCGACAGCAAAGGGAGGCGGGGCGGCCCGCCUCGAGGCGGAUGCGGCGCACGAAUGCAAAGAUCGCCCAGGCUCGGCCUGGGUGAUUGCAGGUGGCCGCAGGGAGCUUGGGCGGCUUCGGCGGCGUGCGCAGGCGAUAGGGCCGGCGGCAGAGGUCGCCGGGGCUCCGGGUAAGGGCGUCUCGGCCGUCCCAAAGUGGCGGCGGCCGUGCUAGCAGGGAGCUAAAGCUCCUGGGCCAGAUCUGUCUAGAUCUGGCCGCAGCCUGCCUAGGCGGUGGCGGCAGUGCGUAGGGACGACUGGGACGGCGCCGGGGCUUCGCCGGAGGUCGGGCAUAGCCAGGGGACAGGGGCCCGAGGGUGAUGAUCUCCCAGGUGGUCCUCGGGCAGGGAUGGAGAGGUGGAUAGAUGGAUGUUGAGAGAGAGAAGGAUGGAGAGGGGUGGCCGGGUUCAAGUUUUCCGGCGGCCGGGGCACCUGCCGGCGGCCGGGGUGCGAGCAUGGUUAGGGCAGGGCUACUCUGAGGUCGGCUAGGGCACAGAUGGGGCGCUGGGUCGAGUAGAUCUAGGGUUUCGUGCAUAGAAACCCUAGAUGCACUUUGAAUACCAGGUGCAAUUUUGCACAAAAGUCCACCGAAACUACAAAUUUCCAACCUAGUCCUUCACAAUGAGUAACUCUCGCGCUUUUGCACCUCCACAAUCGAUCUCGCGCGAUUCGGUACAUAAAAUAUCACAACUUUUGCGGAGUUUCCGAUUUUGCCAAUUCGACCCCUCAGCGAACAUUUCGCGUUUCCUGAAAAUCCGUCCGUCGGAUUUUCGAUCCGACAACACCAUUGCGUUCAGCGCGUCGGGUGCAUCGAAUUUAGCAUUUCGUUUCGUCCGAUUUGACCUCCGAUUCACGACGAAAUCCAUCCGCUCUCCAAAAGGCCAAAAUGAUGCACAAUUAUAUAAAACAUGUAUUUUCAGAUUUUCUCGAAAACCGUGCAUCAGAUCUAAAAUCCGUCAGUGCCAUUGGUUCCAGAAUAGCUGAACCGUUCAAAACGACUAUUGGACCGCUAUGAACGAUGUUCCGAUACGCGCCGAAAGCCAACUUUACUCCGUGGCUUCACCGAAAAAGCGGAGUUACUAUUCACUUAAGUGAAAACUAAUAAUCGCGUAACUUCUAUAUUUUAGCUCAUUUUCUCCUGAAACUUGACGAGUGCUUAUGUAAUUAAAUUACACACAUAAACAUCAUCAACAGAAAGUUUAGUUGCACUGUAAAAAUCUCAGUCCUUAUUACUAUAUAUAUACUAUAUAUAUAUAUAUAUAUAUAUUUAUAAUAUAUAUAUGAUAUCGGCUCGAAUACUAUUAAUAGUAAAACGCUCUUUUUGCUAUUAAGUUUUUAACCCUUAGAUGAAAAUUUGUAGGGUCGGGAUGAUAUUAGUCGGUUAGAGUUAAGUGGUCCCCCUAGGGUUGAGUGAUUCCCACGGAGUUAUAGUAUGUAAUCCAAUGAUUAGAAAUAAUGAAAAGAGUUGAUCCAAAGGCUAAAAAACUGAUAGCAACAAUGAGAUUUUGCUACUAAUAGUAGUCCAGUCCAAUUCUCUCUCUCUCUCUAUCUCUCUCUCUCUCUCUCUCUCUCUCUCUCUCUCUCUAUAUAUAUAUAUAUAUAUAUAUAUAAUUUUUGAAACCAAAUACAGUCUGCACGUAAUUUAAUUAGUUUUCUACAUUCGAAUCAAAGUGCAGUUUUACAUGGACAAAAAAUGUUUGCAAAGAGCAUUGCAAUGGGUAAGCCGCGGGGAGUCCCCUACAAUAUUGUAGAUGAUCCAUCAUCAUUAAUAUUAUACUCUAACCAUUAUUACUAAAUCCCAAAUACCUUUGUUAAGCCCCAAAUACUAUUAUUAUAUCAUAAAUUUUAAACUCCAAAUUUUCUACAUGCACAUUCCAACACAUCAAUAAUAAUAAUAUUAUAAUAUGAUACAAAUUUUGAGGUAUAUUAAUAAGUAUUUUACUUUCGCAACUAUUUUUUUUAUUUGUUUAUGAGAGAGAUUAUUAUUAUUAUUAUAUUUACUGAUAAAAGAAUGGUCCUCACACGUGGUAUACCACAUCACCACCUCGUGUCCCUGUCCCUGCAUUCAUUGGGCCCUUUCCCGCUUGUUAGUACAAUAAUAACUAAUAACAACGCCCCUUCCGCUUCUGCAAAAGCCAUCUCGUUUCCAAUAAUAAUAUUAUUUUAUUUUAUCAAAACAAGUACAUAAACAUAACACUUUCCUUUUUUUCCUAAUUUUUAUUAAUAUUUAUUUAUUCGUAUUACUUUUCUCCUCUGCUUAUCCACCUCAGUUCAGUCCCAUGCGCGGUAUUUUUAAAAGUAAAUUCGCGAACAUGGCGGGAAAAUACACCCCCCCUUUUCCCGCCCGUAUUUCCAAGAUCCCUUUCACAUGCAAAAAUAUAUGAAUUUGUUACUGCACCAUUCGAUAUUGCAAGUUGGUUUCUGUUUUUUUUUUUUUUUUUUUUUUUUCAUUAAACACUUGACUUAGACAACAAAUUUAAGGCUUAUUGUUAAUAUUAAUUACUGAUGUUCAACUGCAUUGAAUUUUCAUAAGCGAAUUUUAGUACUGCUAUUAUUUUUGUUAUUUUUAUAAAGAGAGAUUAUUUCCGUUAGCAAUUGACUAGCUUAUAUUAAAAUCUCUGCAACUAUAGAUAAUUCUCACAAAAGUAGCACUUUCUUUUACUUUCAUUUGAAUUAUUUGGCAAAUAAAAUGGAAUAUUGUAUUCUCAAAAAUUGUAAAUUUAGUCGAAUUAUGCGCCUCAAAUAAAAUUAAAUCACAAUUAAGGAUAAGUCGAUCAAAGAAGAUAAAUCUCAGAGUCUGUAGAUCAACAGGCCCUGCAAAUUGAAAAUUUUGCAUACGUUUCAUCUUAAAAAAAAACGCCUUAAACAUUUUAUUGAUCAUUGUAUCAGUAUUUACAGUGCACUAAAAUUAAUAAACCCACGCAGGGACUGCAUCGCAAUAUUCGGAAAAUAAAGGGACUAUGCACGCAAUUUCCUACAGAAUCAUAUUACCGAUAACUUUUUUACAGUUUUUGUUUUAAAAAAAAGAAAAACUCAAACAUUCAGAUAAAAGUUUCGUAUUGAUCCUCAAACUUUUAAUUUGAACAUUAAAAACUCUAAAAGAAUUAUAUUUCGGUCAUGCACGAUAUAUUUAUUAUUGAUUAAUUUAUCUAUAACAUAUUACAGUUUUUACUAUUGAUUGAAUANUUAUUACUUGCAUCUAGUUCAUAUAUUUAUAAUUUGAUGAUUUUCUUUCUAAAUAAAUAAUAAAAAGUAUUGUUAUUCAAUCAAUAGUAAAAACUCUAAAAGAAUUAUAUUUCGGUCAUGCACGAUAUAUUUAUUAUUGAUUAAUUUAUCUAUAACAUAUUACAGUUUUUACUAUUGAUUGAAUAACAAUACUUUUUAUUAUUUAUUUAGAAAGAAAAUCAUCAAAUUAUAAAUAUAUGAACUAGAUGCAAGUAAUAAUUUUAACUCCACAAUUAGGACUACAAACAAGUUUAGGUACUUAAACGAAAUAUUAUUAAAAUUUACAGCCUCAAAUAUUGAAUCUAAAAAUUGAGGACGAAAAUAAAAAUCGUUAGCGUAUAGGAAAUUGAAAGUGUAAUUUACCCAAACUUAAAGGGGCAAAAGUGACAAAGCAUGCUUGCCGCGCCGAUCCUUUUUAUUUUAUUUGUUUAUUCAUUUAAUUAUUAAUUAAUUAAUUAAUUAAUUAAUUAAUUUAGGCUUCACGAAACUUCGGCGACCGAUCAUCCCGCGGGAAUCACGGGCGAGGUGAGCCGUGCGUCCGACACGUGGCGAAAUCGCGGAGGCAAAGCAGGUGAGAUCGUGCGGCUGUUGUCGCUCCGUUCAUGUGCGGAUAUUUCGCGUUGGAUAAUUUGCAUCGAUGUCCUUCAGAUUGCUCAUAAUGACAAAAGAACCCCAAACAUUCUAGCAAUUAAUAAACGGUUAAAAAUAUGUAAAUUGUGCUUAACAUUCCAUACACUAUAGCCGGAGAAAAUGUACCCAGUAAUGCUCGGCCGUACUUUAGCAAAAAAUAUCUAAAAUAUCUGCAACGGCUAAAAAAAAAACAAAUAAAAAAAUGGAAUAUUUUAAUCUUAGAAGUAAAAAACUCCAUGUGAUGCUUUUAAUUUUGAAAGAAGUUAUUAAAUAUAAAUGGUUAAAUUAUAAAAAUUCAUUCUGUAAAUAUCUGUUUUUUUUUAUUUUUACUUCAUAAUGUUUAAAAAUUUAUAUUUUAUUCUUUUAAAAUUUUAGACAUAUUUAUAGAGCAUACAACAUUAAUAAAGAGAGUAAAAGAAUCAAAUUAUCCUUACUCUUUCUAAAUAUAUAUUUUUAAAAUAUUUUUAUCAUUUUUAAACAUAUUUUAAGUAUAAAUUAUAAUAAAUUGACGGAAUAAUAAUUGAACUAUAACAAAGAAAGGCUAAAUACAACAAUUUAGAAUGUUGAGAGGGUAAAAUAUAAGAAGAAAAAAUAAAAAUAAAAAAUAAAUAUUUAUUAUUAGAAGUUUUUUUGUAAUUUAAACAAUAUAUAUUAUUUUAAUAAUUAUUUUAAAGUUAUUAUCAUAUACAUUUAGACGAUACUAAAUUAAACAAUGAUGUAUAUAAUAAUAGAUAAUAGAACAUAUAUCAUAUAAUCAUAUUGUAAGUUAUGCAAAAUUUUAAUUUGUUUAAAAUGUUAAUUAGAUUAUAUGAUCAAAAUUUUAUAUUAUAAGACUCCAAAUAGUCCUAUAUAUAAUAUAUAAUAUGGCUAGAACUCUUAAUCCGGUUUAAGUAUUUUGAAUGGUGGAAGAUCGAAGAGGUUAAGAAAGUUAGGCGUGCUAGGACGGAAAUAGUCAUAGGAUGGGUGACCCCUGGAAAGUUUAACUUGGAGCGUUACACUUUAAUAGUCCUAUACGUUUUCGUAAUUUUUACAGUACUAAAUAUGUUUAUAAAAGUAAAAUAAUAAAGUGUUAAAUUUAAUAUGCAGCUCUCAAACUAUAUAAGACAGGUGGCACUUUAGUCCUAAAACUUUGAUUUAAUUGUAAAGUUUAAUUCAAACUUUCCGUAAGUUUCAUAAUUUAAUUUAGUUGAUUAAAUUUUAGUACAAUUUUGAUAUAAAAAUAAUACUAUAUUUUAAAAUUUAUCGCACAUUAAUUAUAAUAUAUCAAAUAAAUUAGAUUAUAAAAUUUUAAAAAUUUUAAUUAAUUAAAAUUUUAGGGCCAAAAUAUCGCGAGCAUCAUUGUUUGAGGGUCGAAACGUACAACAUGUGUGACGCCCCAACUUCUCAGAGGAUCACCCAUCUUAGAACUAUUCCCGUCCUAACCGUUUGGAUAGGGGAUAAGGGGAGGGAUAACCUCUUAUCCCCCUUUAUACCAAAACACAAAUUUUUUUUAUCCGAGAAUAGUAAUUCUCGGAUACCUGAAAUAAGCUGGUAUAAUUAUUCCCACAAACACCUCUAUUUUCUAUAUAUAACUACCGACUAUUUUUCUUAUACCAUAUUAUUUAUCCAAACGAUAUUUUUCUUAUCCCCGAGAACAACCCAAUUUUCAUACAAACGCUAUUUUUAUUAUCCUCAUACUUGUACCUAUCCCUGUAAUAGCUAGUUCUUGCUUAUACCCGAACCAAACGCUUGGGUCAAGCCACCGGGUUAAUAGCUUUAGUUUUAUUAUAUCUUAUAAAUAGAACUAGCUGGGGUCUCACAUUCUCCACCCUUAAGUCCUGACAACGGCAGGUUGAGACUCAUAAAUAUCAAGCGAUGUGAGACUCGUCUCGCUAACCUAAACCGACCUUGUGAUUAGUUGCACUCCACCCGCAACAGUCAACGCCUAAACCGACCUUGUAGUGAGUUACACUCCACCCAUAACAGUUAACAACAUGAGAGGCUUACUCUCCCCAUUGUAUAAUACUAGUUCAGCCAAGACUCAUCUCAUACUUUUCGGCUAGUAAUUGACUCUAAUACCAUUUGUGAUGCCCCAACUUUCGUCCUACCAUGCUUAACUCUUUUAACCUUUUGAGUCUAACUACCACCCAAAAUACUAAAACUGGCUUAAGUGUUUUAACCCUAUUAUAUGAGGUCUCACAAUAUGCUAAAAUAAAUAAAUAAAGUAAAUAUCAACCGUUCCUAGCGUAAAUGGUAAAAUGCUUGGUAGUUGAUAUCUGAGGCUCUAAAUUCGAAUCCUAAUUUAUUCAUAUUUUCAGCUAAAUUUAUUUUUUAAAAAAAUAAACGGAACAAGUAUUAUGUUAUUUUUCUCUAUGAAAAAAAGUAAAAAUAAAAAAAGGAAAAACUUCAAAAGGAAAAACUUCAAAUACCACCUAUGUGGUUUUGCACCUUUUCACUUUAGUAACAUGUGGUUUAAAUUGUAUCAAUUUAGUACCAUGUGGUUUCGCACUUUCUCACUUUUGUAUCCUGUAGUUUAAAAUACAUUAAUUUAGUUAUUUUUCUCUUUUCGUGAGGUCCUCUGUUAAUAUUUCGUUAAAUUAUAUACAAAAAAUUUCAAAUAUACUAUCUAGGUUUAUCGAAUAUUUACUUUAGUACCCUUUAGUUUUAACUUUGUCACUGAUUUUUUUUCCUUCAAUAUUUCGUUAAAUUAUAUAUAAAAAAUUUCCGAUGCUACCUAGAUUUAUUAAAUAUUCACUUUAGUAACUUUUCAUUGAUUUAACGAAAAAAAUAAUAAAUGAAUAAAUAAGAGAAAAAUAAAAUCACAUAUUACUAACUUGAUACACUUUAAAUUAUAGAAUAUUAAAUUAAAAAAAUAAAAUUAUAAUGUACUUUAAAUUAAGUAGUACUAAAGCGAAAAAUGAAACACACGAGGUAUUUAAAGUUUACUCCAAAAAAAAAAAAAAAAAAAACCGAAAACUCAAAAUUCAAAAAGCGGUCAUCUCGCCGAGCGGCGGGGGCGGGACGUUUCACGUUUGCUUGUGGGAGCACCCGCACCGCCGCUCCCGUGCGGACGCCGCACGUGGUCUCUGACUCCGCAGAGUCACGUGACCCGCACCACGAUCGAAACGUGUUCCUCUCCCCCCCCCACAACGCCGAAUGCGCGCACGUGCCCGGCACGUGCCCCGACGCACCAUCCCUGGUCCCGCCGCCCGAGGCCAACGCCCGGCCAAUAACAAACCGACACGUCACCGGAUUCCCCGCGAUCGCCGUGUGCCUUUUCCGAAGGGGAGCGUAUGCGUUAACUUCCCAAAAUUACAGGAAUGCCCCUGUUUGGGAACGCCCUUAUUCAGGCCGUGGUCUCUCUCUAUCUCUAUCUCUAUAUCUCUCUCUCUCUCUCUCUUCCUAACCAGUAACCACUAACCACCUCCUGGUUAUUAUUUUAUUAGCGUUUUACAAGGGACGGUUGGUUGGUCCGUACGUCCACGUGGCGGAAUCCUAGCGAGUGAGGCCGUUAUCAGGGUAGGAGCUUUUGAGAGGGGGAGAGUGAAAUGACGGAAUUGCCCGCGGUGUCCGGCCCAGAAAUGGUGGGUUUUGGGCAUAUAUAAUAUAAAAAGCGUUUUAAAGUUGUAAUAAAUAAAUAAAUAAAUAAAUAAAUAAAUGGGAUGUCCGCAACGGAGGGAAUUUAAAGACGGAAGAGCGGGGGGAGGGGGGUGGCGACACGAAGGCGGUGGAGUCGUGGAUCACAGCAAUCGCUGCUGCAAUAAUAAUAACAAUUAUUAUUAUUAUUAUUAUUACUACUAUCUGUGGGUCGAUCGGCACAUUCACACUUAGGAUGCAAGCCAAGUCACCUGUGAACAUUGUAAAGAAAGUUUUGCAUACACCUAUGCACAGCCACCCGGGCAAUUUUUGUGCCAUGCACCACAUCAUUAAUUUAACUAUAUAUAUAUAUAUAUAUAUAUAUAUAUAAAGUUGAGCUAUGAUACUUUUACAAGUAUCACCAUCAUAGUACUAUUAGAUUUUAAGCCAUUGGAUCUACUUUUUAAUUAUUAAUAGCCCUUGGAUUAAACAUUAUUUCACCUACCACCACCUACCAUCAUCAUCUCAACCUCACAUCUCUCCAUCUAAGGGCUAAAAACACACAAGUAUCACCCCCAUGAUACUUUUACAAGUAUUCUAGCCCUACUCUAUAUAUAUAUAUGUAUGAUUCCGGCUAUUAUACUUUUAUUAGUAUAAGCUCUUUUUUAUUCAUAAAUUUUCAGCCGUUAAAUCUACCCCUUUGAUUAUUUUCAUCUGUUAUAUUAUGCUAUUUAACUAACCAUUCACUCAACCCUAUAGAACUAUUAUUAUCCAAAUCGAAAAGCACUAUUAUCCUAUUAUCCUAACCACACAUUCCUUCAUCCAAUUGCUGUAAUCUUAUAAGUAUAAAAGGAUCUAUACUUAUAAAA